UUCCAGACUCCUACGGGAGGCAGCAGUGGGGGAUAUUGCACAAUGGGGGGAACCCUGAUGCAGCGACGCCGCGUGGGCGAAGAAGUAUUUCGGUAUGUAAAGCCCUAUCAGCAGGGAAGAAGAAAUGACGGUACCUGAGUAAGAAGCACCAGCUAAAUACGUGCCAGCAGCCGCGGUAAUACGUAUGGUGCAAGCGUUAUCCGGAUUUACUGGGUGUAAAGGGAGCGCAGGCGGCACGGCAAGCCUGAUGUGAAAGCCCGCGGCCCAACCGCGGGACUGCAUUGGGAACUACCGGGCUGGAGUGCCGGAGAGGUAGGCGGAAUUCCUAGUGUAGCGGUGAAAUGCGUAGAUAUUAGGAGGAACACCAGUGGCGAAGGCGGCCCACUGGACGGUGACUGACGCUGAGGCUCGAAAGCGUGGGGAGCAAACAGGAUUAGAUACCCUUGUA
rnacentral:rRNA from 1 species